rnacentral:rRNA from 1 species
UACGGAGGGUGCAAGCGUUAAUCGGAAUUACUGGGCGUAAAGCGUGCGUAGGUGGUUAAUUAAGUUAUCUGUGAAAUCCCUGGGCUUAACCUGGGCAGGUCAGAUGAUACUGAUUGACUCGAGUAUGGGAGAGGGUAGUGGAAUUUCCGGUGUAGCGGUGAAAUGCGUAGAGAUCGGAAGGAACACCAGUGGCGAAGGCGGCUACCUGGCCUAAUACUGACACUGAGGCACGAAAGCGUGGGGAGCAAACAGG